rnacentral:lncRNA from 1 species
CUCUUCUUCUAAUUCAGAGUCUUCAAUUUCCACCAACUCCGCUUCUUCAUCUUCAUUUUGUCUCCUACUACUACUGGAGAAUGGUACGGCCGGUGGAAGGCAAAAGCUCCGGCUAAGAGUGUGGCGGCGAUAGCGGAGGUGGCAACGGCGGGAGAGAGAGACAUGUUGAAGAUAUGGAAUAGAGGAAGAAGUGAGUGAAAUUGGGGAGAGGAGAGAGAGAGUUCGUGAUAAAGAUAUUGCUGUACUCACCUCCAUUGAUGCUGAGAGAGUGCAGGAGAAAAGAGAGGUUUAUCCUUUGUCUUCCGGAGGCUUUAUAAAUCAAACGUCCCAUUUUAUAGAUUGCGAUUUGUAAGUUGCACGUAUUGCGAUUUAUAAUAUACAAUUUAUAGGCGUUUAAAGUUGUGUAUAAUAUAUAAGGUAUGCUACUAUAUUGCAGAAUGCAAUGUAUAAGUCAAUUCUACCUAGGUUGUCGAUGGAUACUUGGAAACAAUCGAACCGAAUCUAACUUUUAGGUUUUUUUUUUAAAAUAAAAUUGUAAGCUUUUAUAUAAAUUUAUAAUCGUAUUGAUGAUUAUGGUAAAUUUGUUAUUUUACAAAAAUAAAUUGAAAAAAUAGUGAAUCGUACUGAAUAAAUUGACAUGCAAAAAAAUAUAUUUACAUAUUAAAUUUAAAAAUAAUAAUACAUUAAAUUAUUCUUUGGGCAUUGGAAUUGUGAAAAUGAUUACAAGGCAACAAGUAAUUAAGGGACAAAUUCAAAAAUAGCUAAAUAUACAAGUGAUCAUUCAAAAAUAGCCAUAGUUUUGAAAGUAAUCGAAAUUUAGCUAUUUUUAAUGUAAAGAUAAAUCUGAAGUCUGAACGAAAAUAAUGUUCAAAAUUCGAAAAAAUACUCCAGUAUAUACUGGAGUUCCAGUAUAGUUUCAGCAUAAGUACACUGGAACUCCGUUAUAUUAUACUAGAACUUUUCGCGUGUUGGAAUUCCAGCAUAAUAUGUUGGAAGUUCAUACACAAGGGUACCGAUCUCCAGUAUAUUAUGCUGGAAUUUUCCAUGUUGCAGCAAAAAAGUGGUUAUUUUUCAAUGACUUUACAAAUGCUGACGAUUUUUGAAUGACCAGUCCGAAAACUGGCUAGCAUGUUCUAUUUUUAUAGUAAUUAAACUCAAAAUCCUAAUUUCUCAAACAUAUUAUACUACUCUUAUUGAAACAAAAUUAUUUCCAGCAUAUUCACUAGCAAGACACAAGGUAUUCUAGCGAUUACUAGCAAAUAUAUUUGCAUUUAGUAUGUUUCCUUUCGUAUAAUUUAGGUUAUCUCUUUGAAUAUUUAAUCUUCUAUUGACUUUAUUCUUGAGUUCUAGCUUGGUUAAUAUCUCUUCACUCGUGAGAUUUAUAUUUUCUUUGUCUUUGUUUAGUCUUUUUUAUAUUGAUGUAGAAUAGUUGAUAGAUCUAUACUCUUGCCAUCUUUCAUAUUUUCUUAAUUCAUCACUCUUUAAUGAGUAAAAAUAUCUAGAGAGUUUUGCUAAGUCCUACAAAGGUACGUAUGUUAUUGCAUUUUACUUCUACUAGUGACUUUUAUAUGACAUUUAAAAAAUACGAAAAAUUAAUCGAAUUAUAUUGAUACCGAAGAGAAACGACAUAAUUAGGACGGUUUUGAAAAGUUUAAUUUUGAAUAUUAUAUAUAUAUAUAUAUAUAUAGCGUAACUCUCUCUAUAAAUGUAACUCGUAAAAUGGAAGAAUGGAAAUAGAGAUAAACCUAUGGUCAACUGUCGAGACAAAGAAUCCGAAAAUUCUCGAACGACAAGUUCAGCUUCACGUUCGAGUGACUCAACAUCAAUGCUAUCAUCAUCCUCAAUAUACUCUUCUUCUAAUUCAGAGUCUUCAAUUUCCACCAACUCCGCUUCUUCAUCUUCAUUUUGUCUCCUACUACUACUGGAGAAUGGUACGGCCGGUGGAAGGCAAAAGCUCCGGCUAAGAGUGUGGCGGCGAUAGCGGAGGUGGCAACGGCGGGAGAGAGAGACAUGUUGAAGAUAUGGAAUAGAGGAAGAAGUGAGUGAAAUUGGGGAGAGGAGAGAGAGAGUUCGUGAUAAAGAUAUUGCUGUACUCACCUCCAUUGAUGCUGAGAGAGUGCAGGAGAAAAGAGAGGUUUAUCCUUUGUCUUCCGGAGGCUUUAUAAAUCAAACGUCCCAUUUUAUAGAUUGCGAUUUGUAAG